rnacentral:rRNA from 1 species
CUGUGAAAGCCGGAUUAAUACCGCAUACGCUCUGCGGAGGAAAGCGGGGGAUCCUUCGGGACCUCGCGCUACAGGGGCGGCCGAUGGCAGAUUAGCUAGUUGGUGGGGUAAAGGCCUACCAAGGCGACGAUCUGUAGCUGGUCUGAGAGGACGACCAGCCACACUGGGACUGAGACACGGCCCAGACUCCUACGGGAGGCAGCAGUGGGGAAUUUUGGACAAUGGGCGCAAGCCUGAUCCAGCAAUGCCGCGUGUGUGAAGAAGGCCUUCGGGUUGUAAAGCACUUUUGUCCGGAAAGAAAACCUCGUGGUUAAUACCCGUGGGGGAUGACGGUACCGGAAGAAUAAGCACCGGCUAACUACGUGCCAGCAGCCGCGGUAAUACGUAGGGUGCAAGCGUUAAUCGGAAUUACUGGGCGUAAAGCGUGCGCAGGCGGUUCGCUAAGACAGAUGUGAAAUCCCCGGGCUUAACCUGGGAACUGCAUUUGUGACUGGCGAGCUAGAGUAUGGCA